GUGCAGUGUAGAUGCAGGUGUGGGUGUAGAUGCAGGUGCAGUUGUAGAUGCAGGUGUGAGUGUGGGGGUAGGCACAGGUAUAGAUGCAGGUGUGGGUGUGGGGGUAGGCACAGGUGUAGAUGCAGGUGCAGGUAUAGAUACAGGUGCAGGUGUGGGGUAGGCACAGGUAUAG